rnacentral:rRNA from 1 species
GAAUCUUAGACAAUGGGCGCAAGCCUGAUCUAGCCAUGCCGCGUGAGUGACGAAGGCCUUAGGGUCGUAAAGCUCUUUCGCCAGAGAUGAUAAUGACAGUACCUGGUAAAGAAACCCCGGCUAACUCCGUGCCAGCAGCCGCGGUAAUACGGAGGGGGUUAGCGUUGUUCGGAAUUACUGGGCGUAAAGCGCACGUAGGCGGAUCAGAAAGUAAGGGGUGAAAUCCCGGGGCUCAACCCCGGAACUGCCUCUUAAACUCCUGGUCUUGAGUUCGAGAGAGGUGAGUGGAAUUCCGAGUGUAGAGGUGAAAUUCGUAGAUAUUCGGAGGAACACCAGUGGCGAAGGCGGCUCACUGGCUCGAUACUGACGCUGAGGUGCGAAAGUGUGGGGAGCAAACAGG